AACGAACGCUGGCGGCAUGCCUAACACAUGCAAGUCGAACGGUACCUCCGUGUGUAGUGGCGCACAGGUGCGUAGCGCGGGGGAACGUGGCCUAAGGUUCCGGAUACCUCCCCUAAGUGGGUGAUAAUGCCGGGAAAUUUAUGCGGACACCACAUUCGUCGUCCUUGGAUGGGCAGGGGUUGUAUUAACUUGGUGGGAUGGUAAGAGCCUACGACGGCUACGAUAGAUAGCGGGUCUGAGAGACAGAGCCGCCACACUGGGUCGGAGACACGGCCGAGAAUAUUACGCGAGGGAGGAGUGGGGAAUACAGGAAAAUGGGCGGAAGCAUGAACCAGCAAGGCUGCGUGAGCGAUGAAGGCCUUAGGGUAGUAAAGCUCUUUUACCCGGGAUGAUAAUGACGGUACCGGGAGAAUAAGCACCGGCUAACUCCGUG
rnacentral:rRNA from 1 species